rnacentral:ncRNA from 1 species
AAAAGACUUAGUCCUAACCUUAUUAUUGGUUCCUGCUAGACAUAUACAUGCAAGUAUCCGCACUCCAGUGAAAAUGCCCUCUAACCCUUCUUCACCUGAACAAGAGGAGCAGGCAUCAGGCACACCAGCCCCAAUGGUAGCCCAAAACGCCUUGCUAAGCCACACCCNNNNNNNNNNNNNNNNNNNNNNNNNNNNNNNNNNNNNGUGUAAACUUGACUUAGCCAUAGCAACCUCAGGGUUGGUAAAUCUUGUGCCAGCCACCGCGGUCAUACAAGAAGCCCAAAUCAAUAAUCACCCGGCGUAAAGAGUGGCCAUAUGUUAUCUACACCAACUAAGAUCGAAACGUAACCAAGCUGUCAUAAGCCAAAGACCCGCAUAAGCCCAACCCCCAAACAUCUUAGACCACACGACCAAUUUCAACCCACGAAAGCCAGGACACAAACUGGGAUUAGAUACCCCACUAUGCCCGGCCAUAAAUCUUAAUACUUCCCUACUUACGUAUUCGCCUGAGAACUACGAGCACAAACGCUUAAAACUCUAAGGACUUGGCGGUGCCCCAAACCCACCUAGAGGAGCCUGUUCUAUAACCGAUAAUCCACGAACCACCCAACCACCCCUUGCCAACACAGCCUACAUACCGCCGUCGCCAGCCCACCUCAAUGAAAGAUCAACAGUGAACUCAAUAGUUUACCCCACUAGCAAGACAGGUCGAGGUAUAGCCUAUGGGUUGGAAGAAAUGGGCUACAUUUUCUAACAUAGAACAUACGAAAAAGAACAUGAAAUUAGUUCUUAGAAGGCGGAUUUAGCAGUAAGAUGAAACCAUACCCAGUUCACCUUAAGCUGGCCCUGAGGCACGUACAUACCGCCCGUCACCCUCUUCACUAAGCCACCACUAAUAAUAAAUAAUACCCCACAGGCCAAAAGACGAGGCAAGUCGUAACAAGGUAAGUGUACCGGAAGGUGCACUUAGACCAA